AUUUUCUUCUUGGAUUCCUUCAUAGGGUUUCUGAAAUUUCUUCUUAAAACACCCUACAGAUGGUAACUAUAGAAGACAAUGAAUAUUUUACUUUUAAAACAAUGUUUAUAUUUUAGUAGUGCAGAAUGAAAAUUGGAGGCCCAGUGAAUAAAGGGUCAGUAUUUAGCUCUUUUUCAGCUAAAUACUUAGAGUUUGGAUUUUGUAUCCCAUUACUUCAAAAAGCCAUUCUUUGGAGUUGUAUUAAUUCUGUGAGAUAUCUGCAUUUCCAGAAGGCUCUGUUCACUCUCUGAGUAUUUUGUCUGGUAAUGAUCGGAACUGUAGUUGCCUUCAAGGGACUGAAGACCCAGAGCAAAGCUCUCCAAAGAACAAUGUGCAUGCACAGGCUGUGGCAGAGAAUGCCGAAUGUGGCACUUGCUGGAGCUGACAAAUCCACUUGUGCUGCCAGGGUGUGGGAUGCUGCCUGUUCCCUGAGGUGGGCAGCUGACAGGCAAGCGAAGAAGCCUUUAAAGACUGGCUUAGGAUAUUAACAUCAGGCGGUUAUGGUUAUGGAAUUGCUAGCCUUCAGCUGCCUCAGGAACAUACCAGUGUGGGGUGCAUGGUACCUUCAUCAGAAUGCCAUUUUCUGUGUUGCAACAGGAAUUUAGAAACAUGCGGAUUGUGAUACAUUAAUAUGAUUUAACUUCAGAAAAGGAACCAGUAGUAAGCUUUAUGAGAUAGCUUAACAAAGCUCUGUUCCUUUUCUCUCUAUUAUUUAUUCAGCUGCUUACUUAGCUCUUUAAUUAUUAUAGGAAGCACACAUGUGCAAGCAUGCACACACACACACACACACAAAAUUGAAAAAAACAAACAAACAAAAAGAAUUCUCCUUGAAAUGGCAAUUAUCAAGGACAGGAAAAGAUUCACUCCAGUGUAAUGAAGUGAGCAUAAUCCUGAUGUGUGUUAUCUUCUCUGUGCAAAUACAGUGAAAACAAAUGAUUUAUAUUGUACUUGAGCACACUGUUUAUUAAGAUGGGAGGAUGUGUUACCAGUCUGAUUACUUUUUUUGCUCAUUGCUGUAGUGUUAUCAACUCCAUGCAUGUAUGUGCGUGUAACUAAAAGAGCAGCUCAAUAAAAUUUUCUGGUAGCCAAAGCAAAAUAUUUUAAGGCUUCUAAGAAAAAAAAAGAGUGCAUAGGGUGGUUUCAUUUAAGCUUUGCUUUUGCUAAUCCUCUCUGUUUGUACAUGAAUUGCUGAAUGCCACACCUAGAAUUCUAAUGAAAGGAAUUUGAGGAAGAAGUCAAAGCCGGUCCAUCUCACGUAAGUUGUCAGUUCCUGGGGAGGUACUUCCUUAUUUUAUAUUGACAGUGUUGAUUUCUUUGAUCUAUAAUGAUACCAAAGACAUUUUUGUUAUUUCUUCAUACACUUCCUUUUAAAGGACAUUUGUAUGUUGGAUUGAGGGCCCCCAGCAUAUAUCCCAGUAUAUACCUCGGCUUCCUUUGGGGAACCACCCCACCUGCAGUUUGUGUUGCUUUUACAGAAUGGUAAAUCCAGAUGUAAAUAACUUAGCUCCUUUGGAAGUCCAAAGGCCAAAAUUCUUUCUCCAUCUGCCUGGUACAACUAGGAGAAGGAAAAUGAUUUACCUUUGCUCAGCUGGAAACUUUCUUCAAGACUGUGAAUGCAGAGCAAGUGACACAGGGGCAUAAAAUGUCUGAAAUAUACUUAUCUUAAUGGCCAGGUAUGAGCCAGGUGAUUCUUGUUAUGUGAUGGUUUAUGUGCUUUGUGCUGUCUGGCCUCCCAGAGCUGUCUAGGUCCCAUCUACUCCCACAUCUAAUAUUCACCAAUUCUAUGAAAAUUUCAAUUGUCAGCCUCCAUUCCAAUAUAUCCCCUCAAAUUAGCCAGUGGUUUUGUGAUAACUGCACAUAAUGUAAAGAUGAAGACUGAGGAUUGGAGGUCAAAAGAUGUAGAAGCCUAGGCCCAGCCCUGAUAAAUUAAGUCUAUAACUUUGGGUAAGUCACUUAACCUCUGUUGGUCUCAGUCCUUUUAUUGGUAAUUGAAGGGAUCAAGCCAGAGAAAGUUCUAUUCCAGCUCCUUGAUUCUAAGGAUCUUUGGGCUACUGGCCAAAUUUGUCUUGAUUUUCAUCCAGAGAAGAAUGCUAGUGUCAAGCUGAUUGUGGAAUAGAGUAAUCAGAGAUGAAACAGUGCCUCAAACGUUGUAAGUUAACUGUGGAGGACAUCUAGUAUUAUUGUUGCCCUUAUUCUGAUAAGAGCAACAGGAUUUUCCUUUGGUAAAUCACCAGCCCCCAAUCUUGGCACAUGUUCUUCAAGAGGGUCUGAAGCCAUUUGGUGUCAAAGGGACGAUGGACCUGGUAAAUGACAGAAUCAUAACCUUCAGCUACAGUAAUUGUUUUGAGAGCACAUGGGACCUAAGCGAGGCCACAGUUGCAGAAAGUAUCAAGGAAAAAAGAAUACUCUUGAGGGUAUUACUAAACUGGCCAGAUAGCACCCCUGGGCUGCUAAGUCGUUUUGCAGAUGCACAGCCUGCCAUGUGGAAAGCACGACCAAAGAAGAGGAGACACGUUUGAAAUGCUGAAUCCAGUCAGUCAAAGUCAAACCUGAACCAAUAAGUGGCUUCUACCUGCCUGCCCCGCCUAGCGCCCAUCCAGAGGACGGCUGACUUUCAGUCUUUUGCAGUCAAAAUUGUCCUGAUUAACACAGCAUUCAAUAUAUCUUUUCAAUACAUCACUUGCUUGAAAGCUUCAAAGGCAAAUCUAAGACUCAAGGAUCUUCUCCAAGUGGGGAAAGAGAGAUUGUUUAAAUAGAGUGCUGAAUUAUGUGGGCAGAUGAGAAGUGCAGAAAAGAAUUUCUCAUGGAUUGUAGCGAUGACUAUGAACCAAUACGUUACUACAUUCCAUGCCCUCCCCUCAAAGGAAAAAGUAAUCUAUAUGGGAAUUAUUUUUUAACAUUCUUGAAGGUAUAUUAAAGUCGUAAAGGCUGUGAAGGCAUGUUUUGGUCCAAUGGAAUGGCUCUGUUGCAACUUUGUGUAUCUGGAUUUGUUUUCGCUGUGUAUAUUCCUAGCUAUGAAUAGAACAACCAAUAUACACAGCUUAUUACCCACCACUUCACUGCUUCUAGUGCUGCAAAAAAGUCAUCUAUCUCUUUCCUCAUUUCUCUUGCCUCUAUGACAUGACACUUGGCUCUUUUAUCCAAUAUUUAGACAUAAAACAUCUCUCAAUAGUAUGUAGACUGACAUAUCUGUUUGUUUUUCCAAGUAAUUGAGGGUCAGUGCUUUUCUAGUUAGUUUCUUUUGAAGACCAAUUUUUUAAAAAAUAUAUGCUGGCAUCUUUUCAUAUCUGUAUUUCAGAUAGUGCAGUAGAACAAGCACCUGAUUACUAUAUGCAAAUGAGAAUAGGGUUUUCUUUUUAACCAUAAACAAAUUUAUAAAAAUUAAGCCCACCAAUCCAAGCAAAAUAAUGAUGAUGAUGAUAAUGAUAGUAAGUUUUUGUUGCAACAGACAUGAAUGAUAACUUUCUAACUUUUUAGGACUGUUGCAUAGAUAUCAGUUGAAAGAUGUGUGUGAUUGCAGGCAGAUAAGCUGUAACUCCACUAUAUUCUUUCCCACUGAUCUGAACACAAUAGAUAGAGUUAUCACAUCUAGUUAGAGAUCUGUUACUCUAGGUAGCUAGCUCUGAAUCUUUUCACCUGAGUAUAAAUGCUGUCAGAGGGCAAUAUCAUGGUAAGUGACAGAUUAAAGAUAUAUAAUAUGCUUUGCAGCAUUUCAUUCAUAAAAGAAAAAACAAGAACAGUACUUUUUAAAUUGGGGAGAGAGGAGAAGCUGGAGAAGAGGGAUGCAAUCUAAAUGGCAAUGUAGUAAUCAAAAACUUAAGAUGUACAUGAAAUUACAUAUACUUUAUUUUUUGACAGAAUUAGUACAUAUUCAUUGUCUAAUGUUUAGAAGAUGAAAUCAAGUCAGAAGAAGAAAAAAAUUAUUAAUUUGUAAUUUUCCCAGACAUAAAGUCUAAAUAUACUGUAAUCCACGAUCAGUGUUUUCAAGCGUUACCAUGAUCCCCAGUAAGAGAUACCCUUUACCUUGUAAUGUCAUAUAUACACACUUGUUCAUAUAUGUACAAUUAAAACAAAAUUUCACAAAGUAGUAUUUACUUAUCCUUACUAUAAGUGAUAUACUGUGUCAUCCUCUGCCUUUCUCUUCUUUUCUCUUCUCUGCUUUCAUUUAGAAAAGAAAAUUGCCUAUUUAUUAUGCUGCACAAUUUAAAAUCACUGGGAAAAUUCCUGUGGAAUGAGAGUAGGUCAUUUCUUUUGAGACUCUUAUAUAUAAUUAUGUUUAUGUGGAUAUUUCUACUUUCUCAUAAGGCAGCAUUAUUAAAAUGGAAGUAUUGCCAUUUACAUCAUGGAUUAUAUAACCAUUGGUUUAAUCUAGAUUGUGCAGAAGUUAUAAACAACCCAAAUCUCUGUGAUUUAACAUAACAUGGACUUAUUCUUGCUUAUGCUACAUAUCCAUCAUGGCUCCCCAGUUGCACUCUGAUCCUAAGAAAUCCAGGUGGGUGGAAUGACUACUCUCUUCAUAUCAGUUAGUAUACACUAAAUUAUGCUGCAGUAAUAAUCAUCCUCAAAAUCUCAGUAAUUUACAGCAAACCAGUUUAUUUCUUGUUCACAUUAAUGUCUUAUUUUGGCCAACUAUAAUCUGCUUCAUCUUGUCUUCAUUCCAGCGCCCAAUCUAAAGGAGCACCUUGAAUCUGGGCAUGCUAAUAUCCUGGAAGAAAAAGAAAGAACAGCUGAACAAAGUAGUUGAUCUUAAAGCUAUUUCUCAGAAGGGGCACACAUCGCUUCCACUCACAUUUCACUGAUACAUGGCUAUUGUUCAGCUCAAGCUUGACGUCAUUAGGGAGGACUUCUAAUCCUCUAAUAGGAAGGGACUUUAAGGAGGGACUCUGUAAGAGACAGACAAUUAUUUUCACAAUAAUACAAUUUACCAUGGUUUUAUGUGUUGCUGGUUGCCAUGACAGAGAAAAGAGAGCUAUUACAAUGACAUAUACUUAUCCUGUAAGUGGCACUUUAUUUCAAUCUUCUACUUAUUGGCUAAAAGAAGUCCAAUGCUCCAAUCCAAGAAUAAGAAGACCAGAAAGUACACUAUCCUGGUCUGGAAGUGGCAGAGAAUGUGAAACCUUUGGCAACCAGCACUAAUUAAAUAGAUAGAAUGUUCUUCAUCUUGGCAAGCUGCCUCCUGGUUGUCCAUUUGGACAGUGUAAGCUUCAAAUGAUAGAGCUGAAAUCAUGUAUACAAACAAAGAGUUUUCAAAACAGAAGUUAGAAUGCAAUCUGUUGUGUUGGAAUUGAAUAUCUUCUAUGUGACAGAACCAUGUCUCCUUUAGCACUAGAAAAUCUGAAUCAGAGACUCAUAGAAUCUUGAGUGCAGAAUAGAAAUGCACGGUUCCGUGUUCAAAAUACAAAGCGUUUUUCUUUCUUCCUAGGCCUGUCAUUGUGUUUUUUACAUGCUCUAGUAUCACCCUUCCUGGAGCACAGGGAUACUUGCAUAGCAGACAUAGACUGUCACACACAUCAUGUCUUAUAAUUUGCUGUUCAGGACAUGAAUAUCUGACCUCAACCCUCUCUAACACCCCACAAAGGCAAAGACUCGCAGCAGUUGCUAGAGUGAUAUGUGGAAGUGGAUUAUUCAAAGCCUACUCCAGGAAGGUGGAAGGGACCAGAAUGCCAAACUGUGUGUAGUCAAGGCUCCAAGCCCAUCAUGCAUGUUCCAUUGUCUCAUUGGAUUUCACUUACAAAACACAAAUUCAACAGAAAAUUGUUAUUAGGAAUUUCAAGAUAGUGACCACAAAGUAUUAAACUCCAAGUGCAGAGAUUCUUUCUAGUUCUAGGCCAUGUGUGGCUGCACUGGUUGCAUGCCCAUGACGCUGGCCCUGGGUGGAAGAGUCAGAAAAGGCCAAGUACAUUUAAUAUCCAAGUCCACCCAGGAACCUUCCUACACUUGUUCUGCAGUUGUAUAAAAUGAUGUCUCAUGUUUCCAAAAUUAAGGAUAAACUAUGAUAGUAAAGGAGAAAUGUCAUGCUUCAGGCACCGUCAAGUUGAAUAUUGGUUCCGGGGUAGGGCUCCAUGGGGACCUUUGGCUUUGAUGAGUGAUCUGAGCUGGAGUUCCAGUGACAGUGAAUAUGUUGCCUUGGCCAAAUCCAGCUCUGAGCAUGAGCAUCUUCAUCUAUAAUGUGUAGGCUAAGGAUAACUGCCUUAGUCUGCUCAGGCCGCCAUAACAAAAUAUCCCAGACUGUGUGGCUUAAACAAUGGAAAUUUUUGUUUCUUACAGUUCUAGAGGCUGGAAGUCGAAGAUCAAAUGCUGGCAAGGUCAAUUUGGAAAAUCCUGGUUUGUUAUCACAGUGCUUCUUAUUAACAUAUUUCCGAGUUCCUUCUUGAAUGAAGUUUGAGAAUUAAUCUUUUAUGGGAGGAGGUCUGUUUCAAGGAGGGCAGGUCUAUGCAAACCUUACACCAAAGUUUGAGGAAGCUGAAAGGCUGAAGAAAGAGGCUGACAAACCCAGUUUCUUAGGAGAAAACACUUAACAGAGACUUACAAACAAGAGCUAUGUUUGUGUCUCCAGCAGUGGUGAGACAAGAUGGUGGAUCUCCAUGCCAUUACCCCUCAGAACCAGGACUUAUCUACCACAGAGAAGGGGUUGUUCAGAAGGGAUGUAUAGGACAACUGAAGUAUGAUAACUUCGAGGUUGUUUGACCUAAGAACAGGAUUUGUAGUAAGUACCUGGUAUUACACAGGAACCAUAGAUAAACUGGAAAUCCUAGAGGCCCUCCCAGAACUAGGGUUAAUCAGAAGCCAACAUGGUGGAUUAGCAUCCAAAGUGGACUUGCUUUAGCCUCUACAGAGUCUCAAAAAUAAUGAAAUUCUCUUAAACUUUUGCAAUCUCUUUACGCAUAUGAAGAGAUAAUAAGCCAGGAAUAUCUCCUGUGCAUUGCAGAGACAUAAAGCCCUAGCAAAAGCUGCUCUACCCUUCCAUAUAUGUCCUUGACUUUGCAGCAUCACCAUCAUUGCCUAGUCAAUGUCUGGUCUUUUCUCUAAUUUCUCGUUUUGUUCUAAUUCCCAGUCUUUGGAAUAUCUAGACCUUGACAGAGAUUUAUAUACAUUUCAUGUGUUUCACCUAAGGUGGUUUGCAUUCUCUGCCACACAUGGGUUCAUAGGAGGUCACAGCCCUAAAAACAAUAACCUUUGAUGGGGUUCAGGACACACUACCCUAAAAUAUGCCACCUUGGCUUUGGAGCAAACAGCAGAAACAGGGAGAUCACUCUCACCUUCCCCUUACCCUUCUCCCUUUGUUACAGUAGGUAAUAGGCAGAUAUGAGCAGGGCAAGAAAGGGCUCCCCUCCACAACCAGGAAUGUCAAGCAACCAUCAGGUGAUGGUCAGGCGGUUGUUACACUGUCUCUCCAAAAUAAAAGUUGGUCACAGCUGGCACUAAGGAAUGGCAGUCUCCCAAUAGAUAGAAAAAAACCUGAAACUAGUGAACAGCAGCUUUCUGAUAAGAUCUCAGGAGUUGGGCAAGUGGGCUCAAGCAGGUGCACUAAGAGGCAAAAGGGCAAGGUUUAACUGGUACAUGAAGUUUUAGGGACAUUCAACUGGUAAGGGAAGGGCGCCUCAAGUGAGCAUGUGCACAACUCCAGUGAACACACCAUGCAUGCAGUCCCUCCCAAGUGCUGGCAGGCCGCUGUGCAUGCAGACAGCCCACCUCAAGGGAAGAAUCAGGGGAGACAUAACACAAGACCCUGGAUGCAUGCCACCAUAUAAAACCCCAAGCCAAAGGUCAAACCAGGCACUUAACUCUUUCAAGUCACCCACUUGGCCCUCUUCCAAGUGUACUUUACUUCCUUUUAAGAGGUGAAGCCAGCUGGGCUUCUGGGUCGGGUGGGGACUUGGAGAACUUUUGUGUCUAACUAAAGGAUUGUAAAUGCACCAAUCAGCGCUCUGUAUCUAGCUAAAGGAUUAUAAAUGCACCAAUCAGCACUCUGUAAAAUAGAACAAUCAGGAGGAUGUGGGUGGGGCCAAAUAAGGGAAUAAAAGCUGGCCACCCGAGCCAGCAGCGGCAACCUGCUCAGGUCCCCUUCCAUGCUGUGGAAGCUUUGUUCUUUUGCUCUUCACAAUAAAUCUUGCUGCUGCUCACUCUUUGGGUCCACACUACCUUUAUGAGCUGUAACACUCACUGCGAGGGUCUGCGGCUUCAUUCCUGAAGUCAGUGAGAUCACGAACCUGCCGGAAGGAACAAACAACUCCGUAUGCACCACCUUUGAGAGCUGUAACCCUCACUGCGAAGGUCUGCAGCUUCACUCCUGAAGUCAGCGAGACCAAAAACCCACCAGAAGGAAGAAACUCCAGACUCAUCUGAACAUCUGAAGGAACAAACUCUGGACACACCAUCUUUAAGAACUGUAACACUCACCGCAAGGGUCCGCAGCUUCAUUCUUGAAGUCAGUGCGACCAAGAACCCACCGGAAGGAACAAAUUCCAGACACACUUUCAUUCCUGCCCUGAAACUUUUUAAUAAACUUUCACUCCUGCUCUAAAACUUGCCUCAGUCUCUCACUCUGCCUUAUGUCCCAUUGGUCAAAUUAUUUCUUCUGAGGAGGCAAGAAUUGAGGUUGCUGCAGAACCGUACAGAUUCACUGCCACUAACACCCUGAAGCAGGUCAUAAAACCUUCAUUCUAGAGUUGCCCCCUGUACCCAAUGAAAAGAAGUAUUCUUAUCCUUGAAGCCACAGAGGUGCCAAGAAGAAUCUGAAAAAAAGACAUUGUUAAAGUCCCCGGUUUAUUACCAUUAGAUCAUACCUCC
rnacentral:lncRNA from 10 species